GGGCCAUACCCUCAGCACAUGGAAGUUCCCAGGCUGGGGGUUAAAUUGGAGUUGCAGCUGCCAGCCUACACCACAGCCAUAACAACUUGGGAUCCGAGUUGCAUCUGUGACUACACUACAGCUCACGGCAAUGCCAGAUCCUUAGCCCACUGAGCAGGGCCAGGGAUCAAACCAGAGUUCUCCUGGAUACUAGUCAGCUUCAUUAUCGCUGAGCCACGAUAGGAACUCCUCCACUUUUAUUUACAGGUCGGAGACUAGCAGAGUUCCCACUGCAGCAUCGACAUGCAAGCUUCCGAGUGAUAAUUGGAAAAAUCUGAGCAUUGAAAUAGAUGAUGAAUAAACACAUGGAUGGAUGGAUGACUUUUUGAUAGCCACACUUCAAAUGGGGUUUGUACUACGCUUCCAACAUCAGACACUUGUCCCAGAAGCAGCUCAGUUCAGAGACGGGCUCUCCCUGGGCAGCUGUUGGGGGCGGGAAGUGUGUAAACUGUCCCUGGGGAGCUGCUCUGCACAGCAAGGCAGAGGAAGUCCUGUAAGGAGAGAGCCGGGCUUCCUUGUCAAAUCACUACGAAUCUCUUUCAAAUUCUGGUUUCGUCCUUUGAGAAAGAAGGAUGGACGUCUCUGCCAUUUUGUCACAUCCAGGUGUGUUGGAUGGAAAUUAACAAUACACGGAAGUUAGAGUCCAGUUAAUUUCACCAUGAUCACUGUCAAGGUCAACCGGAUCUGUGGUCUGAGACUGGAAAUCUGGGUGUAGCUGGUAAAAUUUGGAGAAAGUGAUGUUUCAGUUAGGAGCCUUAGUAAGGUUCAGUUUUAAAACGCGAUUAAAAAGUAGGAUUCUAGGCCUACUUCUGCCACUUACAAUUGGGGGAUUACAAUUCAUUUUUGAGUUAAUUUUUCUCCUCUGUUGUCAGAAAUAACACUCCCUCUCAGCAUCAUUAUGCUUUCGCCAUGGAAUGAAUUGUACCCCUCUUGAAAUUUCCUCCUCUUCUUGACAAACCCCUCUAACAUCUGUGAGGCUCUCCCUGACACCCCCCGCUCCAACCCCAAGAGGUGUGCUGGCCUCUGAAUUGCCUUCCUUCCCGGGUUCCUUACCGAACAGGGGCAGUCCCUGGUUCCUUUCCUCUCUGUACCAUCGAGGUACUGUGACCGAACCAGGUUCAUUUUGCCCAACGCACAGCAAGCCGAGAUGCUGAAAUUUGCAGGAAGGAAAGGCGUUAGGGCAAGGCUUGGGGUAUUUAUGGGAUGAGGACUAAAGCAGCAGGGUGGUCUGGGGCGUGGGGGGCGUGGGGAAAGGUGAUUGAAGAAAGAUGCGGUAAUCCUCAUUCUGUGCAGGUGGAACUAAGCUCCAGGCCUCUGCACGUUCAAAAGGGAGGCGCUUAGCACGACCUGAGGGGGGAGCAUUCGCCCCUGAUGUUAAAGGGUCACUGAGCGGACACUCACGCAGGCCCAGUUGGAGGGUCAGUGGUCUUAACUAGCCUUAACCAGCUCAGCUAGAGCUGGACACAGCUGACUCCAUGUUCCUGGAAAACAACUCCGGUAAACAUCUUAUUAGGCUAUGAGCCACUUGGAGGACAUGCAAGUCUUUGAUAUGAAUAAAUAAAACAACCUGGAUUAGUGAAGGUAGCUCAAGAUAAUUUUGGGGAGUUCCCGUCGUGGCGCAGUGGUUAACGAAUCCGACUAGGAACCAUGAGGUUGCGGGUUCGAUCCCUGCCGUUGCUCAGUGGGUCAAGGUUCUGGCGUUGC
rnacentral:lncRNA from 1 species